GAAGGUAGAGCUCAGUGGUAGAGUGUAUGCUUAGCAUGCACAAGGUCCUGGGUUCAGUCCUCAGUACCUCCA
rnacentral:tRNA from 1 species